rnacentral:rRNA from 1 species
UGAGUACGAGCUGCUACGGCAGCGAAGUGGGUGAUGUCAAGCUUCCAAGAAAAGCCCUAUACCCGUUAAGGCAUGACGGCCUGUACCCGAAACCGACACAGGUGGGGUGGUAGAGAAUACCGAGGGGCGCGAGAUAACUCUCUCUAAGGAACUCGGCAAAAUGGCCCCGUAACUUCGGGAGAAGGGGUGCCACCGCAAGGUGGUCGCAGUGAAGAGGCCCAGGCGACUGUUUACCAAAAACACAGGUCUCCGCUAAGUCGCAAGACGAUGUAUGGGGGCUGACGCCUGCCCAGUGCCGGAAGGUUAAGGAAGCUGGUCAGCGCAAGCGAAGCUAGCGACUGAAGCCCCGGUGAACGGCGGCCGUAACUAUAACGGUCCUAAGGUAGCGAAAUUCCUUGUCGGGUAAGUUCCGACCCGCACGAAAGGCGUAACGAUCUGGGCGCUGUCUCGGAGAGAGGCUCGGCGAAAUAGAAUUGUCUGUGAAGAUGCGGACUACGUGCACCCGGACAGAAAGACCCUAUGAAGCUUUACUGUAGCUUGGUAUUGUGCCCGGGCUCUGAAUGCGCAGGAUAGGUGGGAGGCUUUGAUCCAUUGCUUGUGGGUAAUGGUGAGCCACUGGUGAGAUACCACUCUUUCAGAGCUAGGGUUCUAACGGUCACCCGUUAUCCGGGGACCGGACAGUAUCAGGUGGGCAGUUUGACUGGGGCGGUCGCCUCCUAAAAGGUAACGGAGGCGCGCAAAGGUUCCCUCAGGCUGGUUGGUAAUCAGCCGACGAGUGUAAAGGCAGAAGGGAGCUUGACUGUGAGACCUACAAGUCGAACAGGGACGAAAGUCGGCCUUAGUGAUCCGACGGUUCUGAGUGGAAGGGCCGUCGCUCAACGGAUAAAAGUUACUCUAGGAUAACAGGCUGAUCUCCCCCAAGAGUUCACAUCGACGGGGAGGUUUGGCACCUCGAUGUCGGCUCAUCGCAACCUGGGGCUGAAGUCGGUCCCAAGGGUUGGGCUGUUCGCCCAUUAAAGCGGUACGCGAGCUGGGCUCAGAACGUCGUGAGACAGUUCGGUCCAUAUCCGGUGCACGCGCAGGAACAUUGAGAGGAUUUCUCCCUAGUACGAGAGGACCGGGAGGAACGCACCUCUGGUGUACCAGUUAUCGUGCCAACGGUAAACGCUGGGUAGCCAUGUGCGGAGCGGAUAACCGCUGAAAGCAUCUAAGUGGGAAGCCCACCUCAAGAUGAGUGUUCCCAUGGCAUAAGCCAGUAAGGUCACGGGAAGAACACCCGUUGAUAGGCUCUACGUGGAAGCGUGGCAACACGUGAAGCGGAGGAGUACUAAUAGACC